rnacentral:rRNA from 1 species
UACAGAGGUGCCAAGCGUUAGGCGGAAUCACUGGGCUUAGAGCGCGUGUAGGCGGGUCGUUAAGUGUCCGAGUGAAAUCCCACGGCUCAACCGUGGAACUGCCGGGCAUACUGGCGAUCUUGAGGCAUUCAGGGGCGAGCGGAACAAAUGGUGGAGCGGUGAAAUGCGUAGAUAUCAUUUGGAACGCCAAUGGUGAAAACAGCUCGCUGGGAAUGAUCUGACGCUGAGACGCGGAAGCCAGGGGAGCGAACGGG